CCUUAGUUCUGCUCGGAUCCUGUUAUAACCCGGUGUUUUCGUAAUCUAGGUGAUCCAAAUAAGACGCUGGUAUACUUAGUUUGAUUUAGAAAAAAAUCAAUUUUUGGUGAAAAAUUCGAUACGGGGGGGUAUACCCGAAAAAUGAAAAAACCCAAACUUUGAAGGUCGAUAUCUCGGCUUCUAUGGGAGCUAUCGGAAAAAUUCCAACGGUUUUGUCUUAGUUUCGUCAUUCUAAAUCCAACGAGACCAUCCGCAAGGUCGUAGCUCUUACGAUAGCCGAGAUAUGGCAUUUUUGAUGCCCAUUUUUGGCCUCAAAAACGGACGUCGAAAACGACUUUUUCAGGAUUUUCAAAGUGCUCUCAUUCCCUUAGUUCUGCUCGGAUCCUGUUAUAACCCGGUGUUUUCGUAAUCUAGGUGAUCCAAAUAAGACGCUGGUAUACUUAGUUUGAUUUCGAAAAAAAUCAAUUUUUGGUGAAAAAUUCGAUACGGGGGGGUAUACCCGAAAAAUGAAAAAACCCAAACUUUGAAGGUCGAUAUCUCGGCUUCUAUGGGAGCUAUCGGAAAAAUUCCAACGGUUUUGUCUUAGUUUCGUCAUUCUAAAUCCAACGAGACCAUCCGCAAGGUCGUAGCUCUUACGAUAGCCGAGAUAUGGCAUUUUUGAUGCCCAUUUUUGGCCUCAAAAACGGACGUCGAAAACGACUUUUUCAGGAUUUUCAAAGUGCUCUCAUUCCCUUAGUUCUGCUCGGAUCCUGUUAUA